UACAGAGGGGGCAAGCGUUGUUCGGAAUUACUGGGCGUAAAGGCGCGUAGGCGGCCUGUUAAGUCGGACGUGAAAUCCCUCGGCUCAACCGGGGAACUGCGUCUGAUACUGGCGGGCUUGAAUUCGGGAGAGGGAUGUGGAAUUCCAGGUGUAGCGGUGAAAUGCGUAGAUAUCUGGAGGAACACCGGUGGCGAAGGCGGCAUCCUGGACCGACAUUGACGCUGAGGCGCGAAAGCCAGGGGAGCAAACGGG
rnacentral:rRNA from 1 species